rnacentral:rRNA from 1 species
AGUUGGAAACGACUGCUAAUACCGCAUAAGCCCACGGCUCGGCAUCGAGCAGAGGGAAAAGGAGCAAUCCGCUUUGAGAUGGCCUCGCGUCCGAUUAGCUAGUUGGUGAGGUAACGGCCCACCAAGGCGACGAUCGGUAGCCGGACUGAGAGGUUGAACGGCCACAUUGGGACUGAGACACGGCCCAGACUCCUACGGGAGGCAGCAGUGGGGAAUAUUGCACAAUGGGGGAAACCCUGAUGCAGCGACGCCGCGUGGAGGAAGAAGGUCUUCGGAUUGUAAACUCCUGUUGUUGAGGAAGAUAAUGACGGUACUCAACAAGGAAGUGACGGCUAACUACGUGCCAGCAGCCGCGGUAAAACGUAGGUCACAAGCGUUGUCCGGAAUUACUGGGUGU